rnacentral:lncRNA from 1 species
CGCUUCAAUCAGAUCCCUUGGUGGGCGAGUUAAUGGAAGCACUUGAACCUUUUAUGAAAAGUGCUUCCUCAAUAGCUACCCCAUCUCCUUCUCAAACCCCUAACUAUCCUUCUUCUCCUUCUCAAACCCCUAACUAUCCUUCUUCUCCUUCUUUACCUUCUCUCCCUUCUACUUCUUACGAUUACUUCUUUACAGCCCUUUUUGUACCCAGACGUUUGCUGCUCCACAUCGACGGCCUACCCAUUUUCAACUGGGUUCUCGAUUAACGACGCAAUGGGUCUCCAGCAGCCAUCUAGUUCAAUUGGGCUCAACCACCUUACCCCAAACCAGAUCCACCAGAUCCAAACCCAAAUCCACCAAAAUAACAGCCACUCUUACCUUCGAACUUGCCAACAACCGCAAACCCUCAAAUUUU